rnacentral:rRNA from 1 species
UACGGAGGGGGCUAGCGUUGUUCGGAAUUACUGGGCGUAAAGCGCACGUAGGCGGACCAUCAAGUUUGGGGGUGAAAUCCCGGGGGCUCAACCCCGGAACUGCCUCCAAAACUGCUGGUCUGGAGGUCGAGAGAGGUGAGUGGAAUUCCGAGUGUAGAGGUGAAAUUCGUAGAUAUUCGCAAGAACACCAGUGGCGAAGGCGGCUCACUGGCCCGAUACUGACGCUGAGGCACGAAAGCGUGGGGAGCAAACAGG